rnacentral:rRNA from 1 species
UACGUUCCCGGGCCUUGUACACACCGCCCGUCACACCACGAAAGUUGGCAAUACCCGAAGCCGGUGGGCUAACCCUUUUAGGGAGGCAGCCGUCGAAGGUAGGGUUAAUGAUUGGGGUGAAGUCGUAACAAGGUACCC